rnacentral:rRNA from 1 species
GCGCACCAGGCGCGAAACUUCACAAUGUGCGAAAGCACGAUGAGGGAAUCCCAAGUGCUUGCACGUAAGUGUAAGCUGUUUCUCUGUCUAAAACGCAGAGAGAGUAAGGGCUGGGUAAGACGGGUGCCAGCCGCCGCGGUAAUACCUGCAGCUCGAGUGGUGACCGUUAUUAUUGGGCCUAAAACGUCCGUAGCCGGUUUAAUAAAUGCCUGGGUAAAUCGGACCGCUUAACGGUUCGAAUUCCGGGUAGACUGUUAAACUUGAGACCGGGAGAAGUUAGAGGUACUCCUGGGGUAGAGGUGAAAUUCUGUAAUCCUAGGGGGACCACCAGUGGCGAAGGCGUCUAACUAGAACGGGUCUGACGGUGAGGGACGAAGCCCCUGGGGCGCAAACGGGGAUUAGAUACCCGCGUAGU